GCGUCCGUGGUCUAGUGGUUAGGAUUAGAGCCUUCCAAGCUCUUGACCCGGGUUCGAAUCCCGGCGGGCGCA
rnacentral:tRNA from 1 species